rnacentral:rRNA from 1 species
AUGCAACGGUUCGAUCUUGUGAAGGCCCUCGAAAACGCACAACAUGCCAAGGCCGAAGCCCAAAAGGCCCUCCAGGAGAUUCAGGCGGUUAAGAAGAUAGCGGCGGGAGCGUUCGUAGAUCUACCCCGCAAUGUGUCGGAUCCCGCGGAGUUCUACCGGGCCGAGGAGGGGAGCUCGACGAAGAAGUUGUUCUGGUCUCAGUAUACUGGGACCGAACAUCCGAUGCCCUUGAGUGACCAGUUGAAGCAACUGGUCGAGCUUCACAAGGCGGCCGAACAGGCCAUGAAGGGUCUUAUAGUCCGGAUGUGGCCUGGCGAGCCCCUGCCUGGUAGCUACUUCGGUCUGGUAAGGCGGCUUGUGAAUGCCUGCCCACAGUUUGAAGUCCCACAGUUUGAAGUCAUAAAGCGAUCCGUCUGCAUUGAGGGUGCGCGCAGGGCCUUUGCCCGGGCGAAAGUGCACUAG